rnacentral:lncRNA from 1 species
UGGUGGAUUUCGAACUUAGUGAUCUUCUAUCGAAUGACGUGCUAUUGUUUUGUGCUUAAGAGCGUAUGACGUGCUAUUGUUUUAUGCUUAAGAGGGAUAUCGAAGGAUCUUUCCUCCACAUUUGAAGGUUUCCUCGGUUCUAACUUCUAUGUAGCUUUGUAUUUAGUAUUCGUCUUCUUCUUCUUCUGUUUUCUAUUACAUAAAAGAAUAUACGACGUAAGACUCUUGCACUUUGUAUGGCUUCCAGUUUUCGCUAUAUGUACGAGCAGUUUGUUGGUUCCAUGUGGCAAAUAUGACUUCACAAUUUUUGAUCGAAAUGUGUCUGACAAUCUUAUUGGUUGACGAAUCCGAGUUAACAGGUAGACAUGAUAAAAGUUACUCCUGGAUCACAUGCAAACGAGGAAUCGUAGUUGGUACUGAUACUUAUUUUUGUAGGUUUCAGUUUAAAUUAUAAUAAAACUCGUAUAUCCUGCGUAAUAAAUUUCCAUUGGAAUACACGUUAGUAUUCGUGCCUGUGGCUGUGUAUGUAUAUGUUCCCAUAUUUCUAUCAAGCUUUUUGCAAGACUAAAAAGUAUAUAGCAUUCCAUCGAAAAAAUACCUUUUUUUUUUUUUUGGCCAAUCCCGCUGAAUAAGUUCUCUCUUUGGCUCCUCGACCGUUGUUUUACAGCCUCUAAGUUAAUUUUUAUUUAUCUCUCUUUGUGCAGUUAAUAAGCAGAGUGCAGCUUUGGAGAAUCCGAAGCUUCGGCAACUUUAGUGAACUCUGAGUAACCCCUCCCUCUGUUACUGAAUAAUUUUUAUCGUCUGUUUUUCUUGUUUUCGACCUUUUGUUUUAUCUCUGCAAAUGUAAUUAACCGUCUGUAUCUUGUAUUUGGUAUGUUUGUGAAAUUAUUAGUGGUUUCUCAAGUUAAAUGCUCGAGAUGCUUUGACCAUGUUCGGUUGCCAAGAUAAGAUUAGCCAAAACAAGACUAUGCAAUUUUAUGAGAACCCAAUUGUAUAAUUAGAUUAGGGAUCCAAUAAGACAAUCCUCCAAUAAGCCAAGAAAAGAGCUUAUUUUUUGUCCAUUAUUGUAGGUAUUCCGUCUUCGUAAAUAAUAUUUUAGAUCAGUUCUCUGGAGUUAAUUUAACUCUAAAAAAACUACAUAUCAUUACAGUGACAAGUAUACCAAAACUAUUGUUUAAAUCACAGUCUAUUAAGCUAAGUGAUUGUGAUUACUUCUUUAAUCGUCAGGUUUUUUCUCAUUGGUUGGCUGUGGGCAAUUGUUUCUAGUUUAAUUAUACGGGGACUGCUAAAAAAAUCCCGUUUAUUUCUCACUUUAACUCCAACAUACAAAAAUAGAAAUAAAUAGGUAAUGACAUUAAUACCCUUAAUAAAAUUUAUAUCACACACAUUUUGUGUGUGGUAUUAAUUUUCAUUAAGGGUAAUAAUGCAUUAUCUAUUUAUUUUUAUUUUUUAUGCUGGUGGUAUUGAAGUGAGAAAUAAACGGUAUUUGUUUUAGCGGCUUCCUAAUUAUAUAUCUUAAAUUUAUUUUGAUAUCCUUCUAAACUUGUAGUGGUAAGUAUACUCCCUUACUUUCACUUUACUACCUAAUUCCAUUUAAGAAAGAAAGUUAUAGAUAUAGAAAACAUAACACGGUGAACAAAUGUGAAAUUAAUUCAUAGAUGCCAUGCCAAACAAAUUCACCACUGCUGUUUUAAAUCAAGCAAAACAUAAAGUCAAAAGCAAAAAAAAAAAAAAAACGAAAAUUCUGAUGCCAAAGAAACAAAUGCAGUACACGAAUAAUAACCAAACCGAAAGCAGUAAAAUCAGUAAUAAAUCCUUCACAUGUGUAAAAAUAAUUUUUCGUGUUUUUUUUUUUCUUCCUCAGGUGCUUCCCUCGUUAGCCAGCUUGAAGAUCUGUGCUUGAGCCGCUGCAGCCUUGUCGGAGCCGAGCGCCGCCACGAAGCUACUCCUAAC